AGAUAGCAAACUACCCAAUUUGAACUAUGGGGCAAGUACAGGAUCAACAAACGUAUUCUUCACUUUCUUUGUGGGUGGUAAAAUGAUUUCCAUCCAAAUCAACAACACUAUUAAACAGAAAGUCCGCAAAAUCUUUUUUUCCUUCAGCAAACACUAUCUUCCCAUUAGAUUUUCUCUACAUUAUCUUCACUAUGAUUUUACCAC
rnacentral:lncRNA from 1 species